rnacentral:lncRNA from 1 species
AUUGUAUUGAACCUAUUUAUCUCUUUCAUGGGCCCAAGCAGCUGACCUUUCACUUCAGCAUACCUGCAGCAAGCUCUAGAAUGUCUGGGCCUGCCACGUGCAAAGCUACUUACUGGGACUUUUCAGUGAUGAAACCAGCUUUCCUGCAGUGGGAAGUUAGGGAACCCCCAAAAUAUAACCCAAGACUGGCAGCAGCGUAUGGUGAAUAUGAACCUGUUACAGGCUCUGUUCCUUGGCAAAGGAUAUAUUUUAUUCAGAUUUUAAAGAUUAGGUGGGUACAAUUAAUCAAGCAAUUUGACCACAGAAC